rnacentral:rRNA from 1 species
GACGAACGCUGGCGGCGUGCUUAACACAUGCAAGUCGAACGGAAAGGCCCUGCUUUUUUGGUGUGCUCGAGUGGCGAACGGGUGAGUAACACGUGAGUAACCUGCCCUUGACUUUGGGAUAACUUCAGGAAACUGGGGCUAAUACCUGAUACGUGCUCCUGCUGCAUGGUGGGGUUUGGAAAGUUUCGGCGGUUGUGGAUGGACUCGCGGCUUAUCAGCUUGUUGGUGGGGUAGUGGCUUACCAAGGCUUUGACGGGUAGCCUGACUGGGAGGGUGACCGGCCACAGUGGGCUAGGGAUACGAGCCAGGCUCAUACGGGAGGCAGCAGUGGAGAAUAUUGCCAGAUGGGCGGAAGCCUGAUGCAGCAACGCCGCGUGCGGGAUGACGGCCUUCGGGUUGUAAACCGCUUUCGCCAGUGACGAAGCGUGAGUGACGGUAAUGGGUAAAGAAGCACCGGCUAACUACGUG